rnacentral:rRNA from 1 species
GAUGAACGCUGGCUACAGGCUUAACACAUGCAAGUCGUGGGGAAACGGCAUUAUGUGCUUGCACAUUCUGGACGUCGACCGGCGCACGGGUGAGUAUCGCGUAUCCAACCUGCCCCUUACUUGGGGAUACCCCGUCGAAAGACGGCCUAAUACCCGAUGUGUUUCAUUGACGGCAUCCGAUAUGAAACAAAGGUUUUUCCGGUAAGGGAUGGGGAUGCGUCUGAUUAGCUAGUUGGCGGGGCAACGGCCCACCAAGGCGACGAUCAGUAGGGGUUCUGAGAGGAAGGUCCCCCACAUUGGAACUGAGACACGGUCCAAACUCCUACGGGAGGCAGCAGUGAGGAAUAUUGGUCAAUGGACGCAAGUCUGAACCAGCCAAGUAGCGUGCAGGAUGACGGCCCUAUGGGUUGUAAACUGCUUUUAUGUGGGAAUAAAGUGGCGCACGUGUGCGCCAUUGCAUGUACCUCAUGAAUAAGGACCGGCUAAUUCCGUGCCAGCAGCCGCGGUAAUACGGAAGGUCCGGGCGCUAUCCGGAUUUAUUGGGUUUAAAGGGAGUGUAGGCGGUCUGUUAAGCGUGUUGUGAAAUUUAGGUGCUCAACAUUUAACUUGCAGCGCGAACUGUCAGACUUGAGUACACGCAGCGCAGGCGGAAUUCAUGGUGUAGCGGUGAAAUGCUUAGAUAUCAUGAGGAACUCCGAUCGCGAAGGCAGCCUGCGGGAGUGUUACUGACGCUUAAGCUCGAAGGUGCGGGUAUCGAACAGG